GAAGAACUGUCUUCAAAUCAGAAGUAUCUAGCUCGAAGGUUACUUCCUCAUGCUGCUCCACCAGUCAUCCAUCAGGUAUUCUUUGGAACCCAUCUUUCUGUAGACAACACGUGUAUUGAGAGAAUGAUACUUGGAUUGGCUUUGAAAAGGUCACACCCAAAUAUUGUACCCUGGGAAAUAAAGCUACUUUGGGGGAAUGACAGAAAUCCUUUUGGAAGAUCCUUUCAUCUUGAAUAGUUCCUACCCUGAUGCAAGAGAGUGCUUGUUUUGAAUACUCCUCAACUAUUUCCAUGUUUAACUCUACUCCCCACAAAGAGCUUCAACUGUUCUAAAGGUAACCAUGAAAACAGAAGAAGCUACAUUUCUGAUGUGAUGCUUGAAAGUUAAUGAUUGCCUAUCACGUUUGUGCGAACAUUAAAUAUGACUUAGAAGCAUUGAAGGUUUAUGAUGUCAUCAGUUUCGACAGAAAGCAAACUCCAGCCUGCAGUGAGCCUGCAAGGAGUUGACCCAGAAACAUGCAUGAUUGUGUUUACAAACCACUGGGCACAGUAUUCUAAAAUUGAUUCCAGAGUUGAGGGGUGAGCCCUACAGGAAACUGCUGGUAGUGCACUGGGUAUGGGAAGAUACAGGAAGGCCUGUAUCUCUCUUUUUCUUCAAAAAUUUUCGUAUUUUGUGUUUACAAUGUACGUAGUAUCAUUAUGUAUUAGUGCAUUGUGUUUAUUCAUUAAUUAAGCUAUUGAUGCUUUUUUUUGGCCAGUCCUGGAAUCUACAACCAAGACCUUUCUAGGUUGUCCCUUUUUUUGGACCUUCCAGCGGCAUCUGGCCACCCACAGGCCCUGUUGGCACACAGAGUUCUUUAUGCCCUUUUUUCACUCCUACAUCUCAUUUAGUCAUGAGAAAUACAAAGCUGCUUAGAGUUUCUGGCCACCUACUCCCUGGUUUCAUGCCUCUUUGCCCUAGCACUUGCUCUUGCUUCUGCCUGAGUAUUCUGCUGCUUGGCUAAAUGCUUUUCUUUCUCCAGAACUGUUUUGAACUUCAUUUGCUCUGGAAGCCUUUUCCUGCUGUCUUUUAUGCUUCCACUCUGUGUUGCAACUUGACCCUGAGUUUUCUUUCACUGUUAAACCAGUCACCUUUUAUUGCAAUUAUGGGUACAUUAUCUUCUUUCCAACUUCACUGUGAGUGCCUCCAGAUUAGCACCAUUAGUAAUUUAUCUACAUUUUCAGUGUUAAGAACUGAGUAUGACAUAUUAUAGAUGUUUAAUGAACUGUUGAAUUGAAAGGCAGAAAAUAAGAAAUGCAACUGCAGAAGAUCUGAGAGACGGGCUGGGAAGGUGGCUCAGUGGUAGAAGAUCUGAGAGAUAUAGGAAACAGCUUCAGCCUUAUAUACUAUUUUGAAGACCUUGCACAGUUUGCUUCUAGGAAGUUCUUUGGAUUUGGUUUGAAUUCAUUGAUCAGAAAUAGUAUAUAUAUGUAUAUGUGUGUUUAAUUUUUAUAGUCACUUUCAUGAACACUUUAUAAUCUAGUAUAUUAUUUUUAUCUCUUAUAUUUGUGACUUUGCAUUUUCAAAAUGGAAGAGGGUAAAAUUAGAAAGGAGCGUUGGCUUACCAAGCAAUUAAUAGAUUGCUGUAUGCACUAACCACUUGUUAUUUUGUGAUUUCAUAGAUCUUUCUGUAUACUUCUUUCAAGCGCUGAAUACUAAUAGUGUCUGUCCUUAGAUCUACAAGAACAUAGGAAUUAGGUUAAAAAAAUCAGAGGACUGGGCUUGGUGGUAUAUGCCUGUAAUCUUAGCACUGAGACCUAAAGUCCUUGAGUUUGAGCUCAGCCUGGACUAUAUUGUCAGACUCUGUCUCAAGAAAAAAAAGAAUACAAUAGUGGUGAUAGAUGAGGAAAAAGUGGUGGAUUUAGUCAUCUUUUUCAUUUUAGAGAGAAUGAGGAUGGGAAAAUAAAUGGAACCAUCUAGAUUGCUUAGGUCAAAUGUCUUCUCACAAUAAUGCAAAGUAUAGUAUGUUAUAUUUACAGCAUCUUGUAUAGAUUUCCACAUAGCCUGAAUCUGUUGAAGAACACAUGGUAUCUAGAUGUAGAGUUGUCACAUGUAUUUGAAUCCUAUUCACUUGCCAUGUUCAUCUUUGUUCUUUUGAUACUUGUGGUAGACUAAAUGACAGGGGAAAAAGCCUUGGAGAGAUGAAAGUUGAGACAUUGUUAGAGAACUUUGAUUACUCUUCUAUCUUGGAAGCUUGUAUUUUUUAACAUUUAAAAAUUUGUAUCUGUCACACCAACUCUACAGGUAACACCAAAUUUGCUGGUUAAAAAUAAAACAAAAAUGCUUGGUAAGAAAUGUAUGCAUUAUCCUGCCCAUGUAAUUGUAACC